rnacentral:rRNA from 1 species
CCUACGGGGGGCUGCAGUAAGGAAUCUUCCGCAAUGCACGAAAGUGUGACGGAGCGACGCCGCGUGCUGGAUGAAGUCCUUCGGGAUGUAAACAGCUGUCAAGGGUAAGAAAGUUCUGAUCUAUCCGAGAGGAAGUGGCGACUAACUCUGUGCCAGCAGUCGCGGUAAUACAGAGGCCACAAGCGUUAGGCGGAAUCACUGGGCUUAAAGCGUGUGUAGGCGGAUGUCUAAGUACCUUGUGAAAUCCCACAGCUCAACUGUGGAACUGCUGGGUAUACUGGAUGUCUUGAGGUAUUCAGGGGCAACCGGAACAAAUGGUGGAGCGGUGAAAUGCGUAGAUAUCAUUUGGAACGCCUGUGGUGAAGACGGGUUGCUGGGAAUAUUCUGACGCUGAGACACGAAAGCCAGGGGAGCAAACGGGAUUAGAUACCCCAGUAGUC